GCCACCGCUCAAAAAAAGAAGAGGAAUUACAGACACCACACGACCUAUUCUUCCCCAAAUAGAACCCUCCCCCAAAUCGACGGCCUCCUCCUCGACCGCCGCUGCCGCCCCCUCUACCAUUGACCAUGCCCUCCACCACCACCACUUUGAUUGACAUGUACGACCCCAUCGGGAUCUAUGGCGGCGGUGCUUGGAUCUCGGCAUCGCCACCCUCGAUAUGCCUCCGAUGUGCGAGGUCGUCGUCGCCUCCCUCCCUUCGACACCAGCACCAGAACUGGUCGAUGAUGCCAGUCGCCUCCAUCUCUUAUUUACGGCCAUCACGCCAACGAGCAUAGGCGGACUCCCCACCACGGCUUCCUCCCCGCCAAUGGCGAGCAUGGUGUCCCAUCUCUACUAUGCUGGUACAAUACUUUCUCAGAUCUGUCUUGGUGGAAACCCGAUGCAUGUGAGAUCUUCCUUACCAAGGUGCUAUUAGUGAAAGGAUUGGAGAUUGGUUCUAGCAGUGGUUGGUUUGUUCGGGGAAUUCCUGAUGCUCGUGAUUUGUAAAGGGUUUCAGCCAGGGCAAGUAAUUAUCAGCUGAGCAAAGGCUACAACAUGCUAGGAGGAGAAGUUUGAAUGGAGGCAGAGAGUACACUUGGAAAUACAAUGGAAAAAGGAAGAGGAGACAAUGCUAGCGGAAGUUAAAGCAAUAAACUAUAAGCAUUUUGAAUGAUUAGGGCCUCAUAUUGUUGGGAACAUUACAACCAUGGGGAACGCUAAUUUUGGUUGCGAAUUUAGCAUAGAAGCCACUAUAUGCUCAUUUUGGUCGUCUGUCGCAUCCAAAAACAUAUGUAAUUUUCCUUUUGUUGCACAACACCCUUAUAUAUGGGCGUUUCUAGAAACAUAUGUAUUUGGUCGUUAAUUUUAUUGAAUUAUGUUAAGUUUUA